rnacentral:rRNA from 1 species
GAUGAACGCUGGCGGCGUGCCUAAUACAUGCAAGUCGAGCGAACGGACGAGAAGCUUGCUUCUCUGAUGUUAGCGGCGGACGGGUGAGUAACACGUGGAUAACCUACCUAUAAGACUGGGAUAACUUCGGGAAACCGGAGCUAAUACCGGAUAAUAUUUUGAACCGCAUGGUUCAAAAGUGAAAGACGGUCUUGCUGUCACUUAUAGAUGGAUCCGCGCUGCAUUAGCUAGUUGGUAAGGUAACGGCUUACCAAGGCAACGAUGCAUAGCCGACCUGAGAGGGUGAUCGGCCGCACUGGAACUGAGACACGGUCCAGACUCCUACGGGAGGCAGCAGUAGGGAAUCUUCCGCAAUGGGCGAAAGCAUGACGGAGCAACGCCGCGUGAGUGAUGAAGGUCUUCGGAUCGUAAAACUCUGUUAUUAGGGAAGAACAUAUGUGUAAGUAACUGUGCACAUCUUGACGGUACCUAAUCAGAAAGCCACGGCUAACUACGUG